GACAUCUGUGAGGCUGUCUUGAAUUGUUUAAGAGCCAAAGGAAUAAAGACCACCCAUCUGGUGUCAGUAGCUACUGAUGGGGCUCCGAAUAUGACGGGAACGCACAAGGGAUUUGUGGCUUUACUGCAGAAGUCGCUGGACAGAAAGCUGCUGACUUUUCACUGCAUCUUGCACCAAGAGGCACUGUGCGCUCAAACAUUUCCUCCGGAAUGCACAGAAGUAAUGGAUGUUGUCAUUCAGAUUGUCAAUAAAAUAAUGGCAAAAAGUUUAAAUCACCGUCAAUUCCGUUUGUUACUGGACGAGAUGGAAAGCGCAUAUUCUGAUCUCCUGCUGCACAACAAAGUCCGGUGGCUGUCCAAAGGGGAGGUGCUGAAACGCUUUGUCGCGUGUCUGGAAGAAGUGAAAACUUUCCUGGGCAGCAAAGGGCUCAACUUUCCUGAGCUGGAACAGCCAGAGUGGCUGGAAAAGCUACACUUCAUGGUAGACAUGACAGCGCACCUGAACACGCUGAACACAGCUCUUCAGGGGAAAGGACGCACAGCCCUGCACAUGUUGGAGGAUGUCUUGGCAUUCGAGCGCAAGUUGACAGUGCUUGCCAGAGAUUUACAGAAAGGCACUUUGUCUCACUUCCCCAAUUUGAGAGAGUUCAAACAAGGUCACGACAUGAUAAUUUCGGAGUAUUUACAUUCUGCAAUCAUCGCAAUGCAAACAUCGUUUGGGAAACGCUUCUGUGAGUUCAGAGAGGAAAAAAACACAUUAUCCUUCCCGGUCACUCCCUUAAGCAUCGAUCCUUCCCUACUGAAUACGACUGCAUUGGCAGGUGUGAGUCAACCUGAUCUUGAGAUGGAACUGGCCGACAUAGCCGACAAAGACAUAUGGGUGUCCAAGUUUAGACGCUUGACAGCAGACCUUGAAGAUGUUGCCCGUCAGAAGGCCGUUCUUGCUCAGAAUCACAAAUGGAGUGAUAUUGAAAACCUUCCAAAUCCGGACCAACUUGUGUUUGAAACAUGGAAUGCUGUGCCCGACAUUUAUGUAAACAUGAAAAAGUAUGCGCUUGGAGUCCUGUCGAUCUUUGGAUCCACAUAUGUAUGUGAGCAGGUGUUCUCCAACAUGAACUUUAUUAAAAACAAACAUCGCGCAUGCUUCACAGAUGACAGCUUGCGAUCCUGUGUAAAGAUGAAGGUGACGUCAUACAGCCCUGAUGUGCAGACGCUGUGCGCUGAGGUCCAGGAGCAGAAAUCCCAUUAACCAAGUAUGAUAAAUAUUUUAAUUGCCUCUUAUUUUACGUAUAUUCAUAUUUUUUCAUCGUUCAGUGAAAUAAUCCUUUUAUUUUUCAGGAUGACAGCUGGCUGACGUUAUUUUUGGUUUGCUGCUGGCGGACAAUUUAAGUUCGGCGUUUUUCAUAAACACAAGAAGGACUCAAAUAGACAUUGAAUAUUUUACUUAAAAGUAACUUUCAACCCAACGUCUUUUUUUCGGAGUUCAAAAUGUUUUUGUUGCAUGCAGAAAUGUAAUUUCGUUUUCUCUGCAGGAGUUCAUCAAUUUCAUAAAUGCAACACAUUAUAGUUUGUUUAUACAUAGCAUAAAGGCAAAAAAAACGUUGUAUGCAGUGUUAUUUCAUUUUAAAUGUCAAACGGGUUUUGCGGCUCCCAGUGUUUUCUUUUCUGUGGGAAACGGGUCCAAGUGGCUCUUUCAGUGGUAAAGGUUGCUGACCCCUGAUCUAAAUAGUCAUUUCCUUUGAGUCUAAGAGUUUAGAGGGCUAGCAGCAUAUUUAGUGUCAAGCCAAAUCUUACUCCUAUCACCUUAUGGUUGAAAUCACUUUUUUAAAAAAAGUGUAUACUAAUUGAUUUUAAUCACAUAAGGGGAGGUGGGUGGGUUUUCAAGAAGAGCAUGUUCUCACAAUUUUAUAUAUGUAUUGUUUUUUGAAAUUUGCAGAUUGCCGUCCUUUGCACAUCAGUCUUUGGUGUAGUUUGUCAUUGAUUUUGUUGUAUUUCGUUGUGAAUACCUGCAAGAAAAUGAAUCUCUGUGUAGUAUAUGGUAAUAUAGAUGUACUUCAACAUUUGAACUUUUGUACUAGUUGACUUGUAUUGGUUAUUACUGCUCUCCACAGUGAAACUAUUGGAUAAAUGGAACAGUAUAUUUUUUUGUAAUACCGGGGUCUUUGUAAUUACAAUGCAAAUUCUUUGCUAUGUCUUGCCAUGGCCCAAGUGUAAAAGUAGAAAAGUACUUCAGAAAUUUGCAUGCAUUAGUGCAGAGUGAAUGCUAAUUAAAUUGCAAUCCUAGUGUUUUGAAACUCUUGCUCUGUGGUGGAUGUCACUGGAUGCAGGAUAAAUUUUUUAAUUGACAAUUCUCCCCCCCCCCCCAAAAAAAAAGCGCCAUGAUUUUUUUUCCCUUGAAUGGUUUUCUUAGAAUUUCCUUUGUUACUAGAAGAAUGUCCAUAAUGUAUGAGCUAGAGGCAGGUACAUACAGGGCAUUUAAAAAACUCUUACAUAGGCAUGUGGAUGAAAGAAAAAUUGAGGCCUAUGUCAGAGGGAAAGGUUGGCACAGCAUUGUAAUCUGUUUCUUGAUAUUGAGGAAAAGAAUUAUAGGUGUAAAAACUUGUAAAAUUGCUAAGGCCACUUCUAAUAGACAUCAAGCUUAAAAAAAAGUUUGUAAUUUUUAACAGCUGGAAACAUUUAAUGUUACUGAAUUCUGGUGAUGUUUGUGCCUAAUUGUUAUUUUAUUUCAUCUACCCAAAGGAAUUUCUUCUUUUUAAGACUCCUGGCAACUGAAUGACUUUUAAGAAAUGCAGCCUUAACCCGUGUUAUCUCUCAAUUUAAACCUUAAUUCAGCCAUAAUUUAAACUGAGCUUUUUUCACUUCUUCCUGAGGCUAAUACACUCAGGGGUAUGUUCAUGGUCUUCAGCAGUAGCCCAAUACUCUUCUGCACACCACUGUUGUAAUGCGUGGUUAUUUAAGUUACUGUCACUUUCCUGUCAGCUUGAACUAGUCUGGCCAUUCUCCUCUGACGUCUCUCAUUAACAAGCUGUUUGCACCCACGGAAUUGCCAAUCACUUGAUUUUUUUUGUUUUUCACUGUAAGCGCUAUUCUCUGUAAACUCUAGAAUAGGGGUUUCCAGCCUAGGGUUCAUGGAGCCCUUGUUUAAUGGUAUUGAUUCAUGGCAUAAAACAGGUUGGGAACCACUGCUCUAGAAACUGUGUGCGAAAAUCCAGGAGAUAAGCAUUUUGAGAUACUCAAAUCACCCCUUCUGGCACCAACAAUCAUGCCACAGUCAAAGUCACCUGGAUCACAUUUCUUCCCCAUUCUGAUGUUUGGUCUGAAUAACAACUGAACCUCUUGACCAUGUCUGCAUGCUUUUAUUCAUUGAGUUGCUGUCACCUGAUUGGCUGACUUGCAAUAACGAACAGGUGUACACUAUACGUAUGCCCUCUUUGGUUUCGGUGUCUAUAGCUGUUCACAGUACCCCAGCAAUGGUUAACUAGAAAUGUAAACUACAGAAUAUAUUGUCUUCAGUUCUUGCACUUGAAUAUAAUAGCUAAAGAUGGUCUUUAUUACUUUCUUGCACCAGUCCUGGAAUUUAAGUUUGUAUGCAUGGACCACCAUUGGGUUUUCUCUUAGCUUGCAAAUGUUAAUUCCUCUUCAGGGCAGAAGUUGAUGACCUCACAUUUGCUUAUAUUAAAAUGCAUUUGCUGUGGUUUUGCAUAGUUGUAUAAUCUGUUAACAUAACUUUGAAGUGUAAUGUCUGUAUGUACUCUGUUUAAAAUUCUGGCUCUUUGUGUAAUCACCAGCUUUCUAUCAUAUCAUCCAAGUUGCUUUCAAGAACAGUGAAUAGUUGUCUAUACAGAUCCUUGUGGGACAUUGCUAACACUCCUACAUUCUGUCUAUUGCAGUUUAGGCAGGUUCCUAAUCUGGCUAAUAAUUUGCCUUGGGGUGAAGGGCUUGGAUCAUUAUAUAAUAAUCCCUAUGGAAUAACUAUAUCAGCAGGUAUGCCCAUUGGCUGCUUGGAAUUUUGAAGAGAACUUUAGACUAUACUUUACCACAUUUCCUUACAACAUAGAAGCAACCUUUCAACCCAUUUAAGUCCAGGUUAUCUCACAGAUUAAUUCCAUUACUGUAAUAAUAUCCUCUGCAAAUGUCCGCCCCAUAAUUUCACUGCAUAACAGGCCAUUUUAUACUCUCCAUCCUAGCAAACUAGGUAUCUUUGGGAUGGAGGGAACCCUGGCAUUCAGAGGGAGAGUGUGAAAAUUGCACACAGCAGUAGGUCAGGAUCCUGAGCAACAUUCCUGAAGAAAGGUCUCAGUCCGAAAUGUCGACCGUUUAUUCAUUUCCAUAAAUGCUGCCUGGCCUACUGAGUUCCUCCAGCAUCUUGUGUGUUGGUCAGGAUUGAACUUGGGUCCUGCCCCAUCACCCAGGUCAUGUCUUGUUCUCACUGCUAUCAUCAGAAAGGAGGUACAGAAGCCUGAAGACACACAUUCAACAAUUCAGGAACAGCUUCUUCUCCUCUGCCAUCCGAUUUCUGAAUGGACAUUAAACCCAUGAACACUACCUCACUACUUUUAAAAUUUCUAUUUCUGCACUAAUUUGUUUAUCUAUUUAGUAUAUAUACUUUAAUUCCUCUAUUAUUAGGCAUUGUGUUAGGUACUGCUGCUGCAAAGACAAAUUUCACAGCGUGUGCUGGUGAUAUUAAACCUGAUUCUGAUUCAUUGGUUACUUUGGCAGUAACUCUGCUAGUGCGUCAUUGUGUCGCCUUCACAAGUUGACUGGCAAUUUUCAAAGUUGUCCAGCCACUGUUCUGGUACGCAACUUGUUUUAGGUUGAAGACCUGCUCGGCAGCCCCAGGCACACAAGGACUACUGAAGCCUGUGGGCUGUUGAACGCUGGAUCUGUUCACACUUGCUACCUGCCCUGUCAUAACCCCACAGGCCCAGAUAUUCUCCAGGCCUCCUUGCUGCAGCUGUCAAAAGCCUUUGGACUGCUUGUCAAUAUCUCUGGUCAAAAACAUUGAGGUUGAUGUAAAAGGAUUUAAGUAUUUUUAAAAGUUUAAACAUAUUUAGAAGUACAUUGGAAUGAUAAUUUAAAACAUUCUGAUUAAAGUAAAAUGAGGAUGUCCUUGCUUUCUGUAAUUGAGGUCUGUGAAUUGACUGAGUGUUGGGUUAUUCUAUGUAAUCCCAACUCUGCCAUUACGUUGUGGAUCUGGUUAAGGAUAUCCAGCCCCAUGGUUUGCUGCCUCUGAGCAGAGUCCAGUGGCAGCUGCAUUGGUGUCUGACCUCUGGUGCAUUUACUACUUUAUAAUGAGCAGGUAUGGACGUUGCUAAAACAACUAAUGCACAUGCUGAAGCUUUUUGGCAGAGUUUCACAGCGCUGUGGGAUUGAACAACACAAUCAAGCCAGUCUUUUAUUUCAAGCACUUUUGACCUAUGUAUUUGAAGCCACAGUUGCCAAAAUUUAGAAGUUGCUGCCAAAUCAUAGCAAUCCAAUAUCCUUUCCUGAGUUCAUGUUUGGAGCUUUGACAGGGUGUAAUGUUUUUGACAGGGCAAAUGUCUGAUUUUUAACUUUAAUCAAUCCAGGAGACAGAUUAGGAUCUAGGCUAGAACAACUGUGCUUCAUUUAUUUUUAAACAUUCUUUACUUUUAAUUAUUAAACCAUAUAAAUCUUGAUUAUUUGCUAUUUUGUUUUGUUGACUGGUUCUUUCUGGUAAUUUUAAAUUCCAGAAUUUGAGUUGAACUAAAUUCUAAAUAUCUAGAAUUUCUUGUUUCAGUGGACUGCUGUACAUAUUGUUCCUUCCACAGCCCCUUCUAUCAGUUGUAACCUGUUGAGCACAGAGUUCAGAUUCAGAUUAAUUUAUUUAUCGUGUGCACAUCAGAACAUACAGUGAAGUCCAUCGUUUGUGUUAACAACCAAUACGGGUGCAGCCUGCAAAUGUCGCUACACAUUCUGGCGCCAACAUAGCAUGCCCACAAUUCUUAGCAGCAUAACCCAAGCAACAGAACACAGCAAAAGAGCAAAACUGGCCUCUUUUCCACUCACUCACUCUCUCCCCCUCCUCU